AAAACAUCGCCUCUUGAAAAACAUAAGAGGUCCAGCCUGCCCAGUGACACUGUUCAACGGCCGCGGUAUCCUAACCGUGCGAAGGUAGCGUAAUCACUUGUCCUUUAAAUGUGGACUAGUAUGAAUGGCACCACGAGGGUUAUACUGUCUCCUUUCUCUAAUCAGUGAAACUAAUCCUCCCGUGAAGAAGCGGGAAUCUACUUAUAAGACGAGAAGACCCUAUGGAGCUUUAAACGAAACAACAAUUGCUAUAAGACACAAUUAUUUCAGAAAACUAACUUUUAUUUUAGCAUUAUGUCUGUUAGUUUUAGGUUGGGGUGACCGCGGAGCAAAAAAUAACCUCCACAUUGUAAAGGACUUUCCUUAAGCAAAAAUCUACAACUUUAUGCAUCAAUAAAUUGACAUCAAUUGACCCAAUAUUUUGAUCAACGAAACAAGUUACCCUAGGGAUAACAGCGCAAUCCACUUCAAGAGCCCAUAUCGACAAGUGGGUUUACGACCUCGAUGUUGGAUCAGGAUACCCCAGUGGUGCAGCCGCUACUAAAGGUUCGUUUGUUCAACGAUUAAAAUCCUA
rnacentral:rRNA from 1 species